rnacentral:rRNA from 1 species
CCUACGGGAGGCAGCAGUGGGGAAUUUUGGACAAUGGGCGCAAGCCUGAUCCAGCAAUGCCGCGUGCAGGAUGAAGGCCUUCGGGUUGUAAACUGCUUUUGUACGGAACGAAAAAGUCUGCCCUAAUACGGCGGGCCCAUGACGGUACCGUAAGAAUAAGCACCGGCUAACUACGUGCCAGCAGCCGCGGUAAUACGUAGGGUGCGAGCGUUAAUCGGAAUUACUGGGCGUAAAGCGUGCGCAGGCGGUUAUAUAAGUCAGAUGUGAAAUCCCCGGGCUCAACCUGGGACCUGCAUUUGAGACUGUAUAGCUAGAGUACGGUAGAGGGGGAUGGAAUUCCGCGUGUAGCAGUGAAAUGCGUAGAUAUGCGGAGGAACACCGAUGGCGAAGGCAAUCCCCUGGACCUGUACUGACGCUCAUGCACGAAAGCGUGGGGAGCAAACAGGAUUAGAUACCCUGGUAGUCCACGCCCUAAACCGAUGUCAACUGGUUGUUGGGUCUUCACUGACUCAGUAACGAAGCUAACGCGUGAAGUUGACCGCCUGGGGNGGUACGGCCGCGAGUUAGUAACGUUAAACGGUAAAGUUAGACGGCGUGAGACGUCGACCGACGGACGACCGACGAGGGAGGUUAGG